rnacentral:misc_RNA from 1 species
AAAGAUAGGCCCCGAGCCGGAAACGGCGGAGGGUCAUACCUUCAAACCACCGUGAACUUUCCUUGUUGCUUCCGUGGGGCAGCGACCCAGUGUCGCCCGACUGCCAACGCGGUCGGAGAACCCACGGCAAGACCACAACCCAACUCUUGUUGUGUGUGCCUGUCUGAACAUAAGCAAAUUCUUA